AGUGAACGCUGGCGGCAGGCCUAACACAUGCAAGUCGAACGGCAGCACGAGAGAGCUUGCUCUCUUGGUGGCGAGUGGCGGACGGGUGAGUAAUACAUCGGAAUCUACCCUGUCGUGGGGGAUAACGUAGGGAAACUUACGCUAAUACCGCAUACGACCUACGGGUGAAAGCAGGGGAUCUUCGGACCUUGCGCGAUUGGAUGAGCCGAUGUCGGAUUAGCUAGUUGGCGGGGUAAAGGCCCACCAAGGCGACGAUCCGUAGCUGGUCUGAGAGGAUGAUCAGCCACACUGGAACUGAGACACGGUCCAGACUCCUACGGGAGGCAGCAGUGGGGAAUAUUGGACAAUGGGCGCAAGCCUGAUCCAGCCAUGCCGCGUGGGUGAAGAAGGCCUUCGGGUUGUAAAGCCCUUUUGUUGGGAAAGAAAAGCAUUCGGUUAAUACCCGAGUGUUCUGACGGUACCCAAAGAAUAAGCACCGGCUAACUUCGUGCCAGCCGCCGCGGUAAAAC
rnacentral:rRNA from 1 species